AGGGAGUUCUGCCCUGCCAACGGGUGCUGGCCACGAAAGAGGCUUAACCUGGCCAGCGCGGGAAUGGGGUGCAGAGAGCAAAGAAACGUGGCUUUGAUCCUAUGGAUGCCUUACUUUUACAUUAUUUGUAUAGUUCCUGCAGUGAGCUUUCCCGACCACAGUCUCGUAUGUUUCCUAAGAAAAGCAAACAGGGAAGACAUUGAAGAGAAAGUAGUAGUGUCAGAUUUUCAACUGCAAACUUUCAUCCAUUAGCUUUCAGCUUAAGCAAAUGUGGGCAAAGUUGUCACGGAUCUUUGCAGUAAGUAAGAACCAAGCAAGAAGACUGAAUCCCAAGUUGUCUGGGGCAGAUUAGAAAAGAAACAAUUUGCUGAAACUCCCUCUGCUUAUAACAAAACUGACUGAAAUCAGCUGGAAUCAAUGAGGCCAAAUGGAGUUUGCACACAGUAAGCUUGCUGACGUCACAGCCUGAAUUUCUACCACAUGUUUCAUACCAACUCCCUCCGAAUUUGCACAUGGGACCUACGAGGAAGCUCGACGAGAGAACCAUGCACGCCUGAAGACCUCCCAGAUGUGCCCUUUGCUUCCACCAAUUACCUGCUAAUGCCAGGAUCCACCCCCAAACCUUUUGUAAUAAAAUUACGGCUUUAAAGCCAGUACAAGCAGACAGAUUUGAACUGGACUCCUGUUUCCUCAGAAGUUGACUUGCAAUAUGAAGCUUUUCUUUUCUCAAAAACUUGGUGUCAUACUGUUGGUUUCUAGUGCAGUGAGCUCCUUUUGCUGGAUAACACUACCUGGUAAUUUGACGUACUAGGUGGUUAGUAACUACUGACUGCCUCCAGGUUACAACACAGUUACUCCCCACCUGGGUGAAAAGAGAAGCCAGGAAAUACAUAUUGGAGUCAGCUGGCAACCUGUUUACAAAGCAAUUUACAACAGUUCCUUAUUCCUAAGGGGUUGUUCUAAUGUAAGACCUCAGAGAAACAGUGCAGUGUAACAAAGGAGGAAUUUAUCAAAAGACACACAAAGAGCAUCAAGGCAAGCUGUGAAAUGGUGGGGUGGGAACCAAAGACAGAGCCAAAAGAUCUGUCACUGCAGCCCCUUAGGGUACGCAGACCCUUCCCUGCGCCCUGGUCUCCUUGUCUGUCCAUGAGAAUGCCGGCACCCAGCUCACUGUGCUGUAAACAUGAUGAGUUCCAACAAUAAUUUAUAAACUGCAAAAUCACACAAAUCUAA